rnacentral:lncRNA from 1 species
AGUGUUGUUUUAUUAACAGAGGGAAGCAAGAUUGUUGUUUUCUCGAUCGUUAUUUCAGCGAUUAGUUAACUACUCUCGGAUGGACACAUUUUACCUUUUCACUGAUCAUUAUUCAGCAAUAAGUUAACCACUCCUGAAUGGAUUUGGGCCUCUCAAUAUUAGAACAAAAAUGAAAACAUAUUUCCAUUAUAUAUAUGACAAAAAAAGGGACAUGAUCAGUUGGUGAAGUAUCAGUUCCAAGAAUUGUUCUAGCUCGG